rnacentral:rRNA from 1 species
UCGCACGUAUGUAUAACGCACAGGUCUCCGAUAGCAACGAACGUGACCGUACUCUAUUGUUGCAGCGACAAUACCUUUCAACGGGUAUUACCGCUGCUUAGCAAGAUUCGUCUUGCAUUAAACUAUAGAGACCGCUGUUUCUUCUUUAAACCAGAGGAAGGAUACGGCAAUAACAGGUCUGUGAUGCCCUCAGAUGUUCCGGGCUGCACACGUGCUACAAUGAUCAUUGCACUGUGCAUCUAACCCAAUGUGCGCGGACGCCGCCGUGCGUAUAUACUUUAUUGUGUAUGCGUAUCGUGCGUGCGACCGCGCCGAACCUGCUUCGAAAGUAAACAUUUCCAGCGGGUAAUCCAUUAGAAGUAAUGACUCGCAUAGACCAUGGCACACUAUAUGUACCCGCGGGUUCUACCCGGCCCGCCUUUGUGUGAGUGCAGUGCGUAGCUCGUUGUUUGGUACGUGCCACUCCGUAUUAAUUCAUACGUGGGGAUAGAUCAUUGUUUAAUUGUUGGUCUCGGUCUUAACUAGGAAUGCCUUGUACGGGUCUUUGGUUCAACAUACCACCCGGAAUACGUCCCUGCCCUUUGUACACACCGCCCGUCGCUCUUACCGAUGGAUUAUACUAUGAAUCUAUAGGACUGCCAAAGUUGCUCUUCGCGGCGCGCUUAGUGGAAAUAUAUAUGAAUAGUGGAUCUAA